rnacentral:rRNA from 1 species
GACGAACGCUGGCGGCGCGCUUAACACAUGCAAGUCGAGCGAGAACCAGCCCUUCGGGGCUGGGGAAAGCGGCGAACGGGUGAGUAACACGUGGGUAAUCUGCCCUCGGCACCGGAAUAGCCCGGGGAAACCCGGAUUAAUGCCGGAUCGCCUCUCCAGCCCUCGGGCUGGUGAGAAGAGGUAGCUUCGGCCUCUUGCCGCGGAGGAGCCCGCGGCGGAUUAGCUUGUGGGUGGGGUAAGGGCCACCCAAGGCGACGAUCCGUAGCUGGUCUGAGAGGACGAUCAGCCACACUGGGACUGAGACACGGCCCAGACUCCUACGGGAGGCAGCAGUGGGGAAUCUUGCGCAAUGGGCGAAAGCCUGACGCAGCGACGCCGCGUGCGGGAAGAGGGCCUUCGGGUUGUAAACCGCUUUCAGGAGGGACGAAGCCACUCGGGUUAAUAGCCCAGAAGGUGACGGUACCUCCAGAAGAAGCCCCGGCUAACUACGUGCCAGCCGCCGCCGUAA